CCUACGGGAGGCAGCAGUGAGGAAUAUUGGUCAAUGGACGGAAGUCUGAACCAGCCAUGCCGCGUGCAGGAAGACGGCUCUAUGAGUUGUAAACUGCUUUUGUACAAGGGUAAACCUGAAUACGUGUAUUCAGCUGAAAGUACUGUACGAAUAAGGAUCGGCUAACUCCGUGCCAGCAGCCGCGGUAAUACGGAGGAUCCAAGCGUUAUCCGGAUUUAUUGGGUUUAAAGGGUGCGUAGGCGGAUUGAUAAGUUAGAGGUGAAAUGUCCGAGCUUAACUCGGGAACUGCCUCUAAUACUGUUGAUCUAGAGAGUAGAUGCGGUAGGCGGAAUGUAUGGUGUAGCGGUGAAAGGCUUAGAGAUCAUACAGAACACCGAUUGAGAAGGCAGCUUACCAAUCUAUAUCUGACGUUGAGGCACGAAAGCGUGGGGAGCAAACAGGAUUAGAUACCCUUGUAGUC
rnacentral:rRNA from 1 species